UCUCCUGACGUCGUGAUCCACCCGCCUCGGCCUCCCAAAGUGCUGGGAUUACAGGCGUGAGACAGCACGCCCGGCCUGCUUCAUGUUUUUGCAAGGCCAGAGUGAGUGAAGAAAGGAAUGGAGGACAACACGGGCAGGAGGGGGAGGACGCUUUCAAAGGAGAUUCUUUGAGGAGUUCUUGGGAGGCAUAGUGAAAAUCUUCCCUGCACUGAGUUGGGGCAGGAAUGAAGGGACUAACACUCCAUUACAAAGCUUUUGGUGAAAGGAUGUGGUCCCGGUCUAUCCAACCGCCAUCAUCUUACAUUUCCCCAGGCCGUAAGGAAGAGCCACUGAUACUUUCCUCCACUAAGACAUGCCUCCGUCUGGAGGACUGUGGGAAGAAAGGGUACCUAGGUAGGUUGGAAUUUCACUGGGCACUGUUCUAUUGUGAUGGCUUCACUGAGAUUGUUGGUCUUCUCUAAACUCCAGGAAUGUUCAGAGCCUUGGGCCCUCACACCCCUCAGCUCACCAGGCUCCCAGGAGCUUGCCAGUCCCGGCGAAGUACAGGCCAUUUGCUUCAUGCAUGAUACCCACACAUUCUCUCCAAAUACCUGCUCUCCACAUGGGGAGCAGUGAUUACAUGGUGCUGGUUAAAUGGCUGCAUUUCAAAGUUCAUUUAGUUUCUUCCGCAUUCCAAGAGGCAGGGCUGGGGCCACCAGACUGUUUCUUACAUCUCUGGCUUGGGUUUCAGCUCUUAGCCACUCGCCCACAGAGCGUGGACGGCCACCCAGCCUGCCUGGUUUACAUGAUCAUGGGGAGAGUCUGUCAAAAGCAACUGCACAGGCCCUGUGCUUAAGAUGGCAGGAUGGCAAGACAGAGCAACUGGAGCAAGUCCUCAUUAAGAAGAGCCGCCCGAUGCAUUUGGACCGUGAUAUGUUACGCCCAUGAGAUUUCAGGGUUCACGUGUUACCUGGCCGUGGCCUAUCCUCUUCCAGCGGAUACAAGUCUACUUGUUCCGUGGUACUGACUGUAGUGUUGGCACCUAGUAAACAUCUUUUGACUAAAUGAAGACUUUCAUGCCCUCAUGUGACAGUGGAGCAGGGAUGAAAAGACACAGCAAGACUAAGAUAGAUAGGGAGAGAAGAGCCCAUCUUGCCGUUGGUGAGACAGCCUGCUAGCCUUAUGGGGCCAAUGGGUACCUUCGGCUUAGGGGCUGCAAACUCCCUGCCAUGGGCUCAUGAAACAUCUGAUGAAAUGGCCACUCCCCAGUUCCCUCAAUCCACAUCACACCCAACCUUUCCCUUCUACCUACCUUCUUCCAACUGCUCUCCUGCGAUUUCCAGAAGUUGCUUUUAUUUCAUUCACUAAACAGUUUAUGAACUGAAUUAAAAUAAAUGAGAUGCAAAUAAAUUCCAGGCUUUCUCCCUCAUUUUCAAAUUACAUUUUCAGUCCACUCAACCUGUUAUAAUCUCAUAGUGAUUUUCAUUUAAGAGAGCUAAAUGGAUAUGUGAUUGUUGUUACAGGAACUAACACCAGACAAUUAAAUGUUGAGGUGUUGAUAGAUAAAGCUGUGUUUUGAUUUGC